GAUGAAGAACGUAGCGAAAUGCGAUAACUAAUGUGAAUUGCAGAAUUCCGUGAAUCAUCGAGUCUUUGAACGCACAUUGCGCCCCCUGGUAUUCCGGGGGGCAUGCCUGUCCGAGCGUCAUUGCUGCCCAUCAAGCACGGCUUGUGUGUUGGGUCCCGUCCCCCUCUCCCCGGGGACGGACCCGAAAGGCAGCGGCGGCACCGCGUCCGGUCCUCGAGCGUAUGGGGCUUUGUCACCCGCUCUUGUAGGCCCGGCCGGCGCUUGCCGACACCCAACCAUUUUUUUCAGGUUGACCUCGGAUCAGGUAGGGAUACCCGCUGAACUUAAGCAUAUCAAUAAGCGGAAGA
rnacentral:misc_RNA from 1 species